rnacentral:rRNA from 1 species
CCUACGGGAGGCAGCAGUGGGGGAUAUUGCACAAUGGGGGGAACCCUGAUGCAGCGACGCCGCGUGUGGGAAGACGGUCCUCUGGAUUGUAAACCACUGUCUCCAGGGACGAAAAUGACGGUACCUGCGGAGGAAGCUCCGGCUACCUACGUGCCAGCAGCCGCGGUAAUACGUAGGGGGCGAGCGUUGUCCGGAAUUACUGGGGGAAAGGGGAGCGUAGGGGGGGAUGCAGGUUGGUUGUAAAAACUACCGGCUCAACUGGUAGUCGCACUCAAAACUGCUGCUCUUGAGUGAGGUAGAGGCAGGCGGAAUUCCUGGUGUAGCGGUGAAAUGCGUAGAUAUUAGGAGGAACACCAGUGGCGAAGGCGGCCUGCUGG